rnacentral:rRNA from 1 species
AUGAACGCUGGCGGCGUGCCUCAUACAUGCAAGUCGAGCGAACAGACGAGGAGCUUGCUCCUCUGACGUUAGCGGCGGACGGGUGAGUAACACGUGGAUAACCUACCUAUAAGACUGGGAUAACUUCGGGAAACCGGAGCUAAUACCGGAUAAUAUAUUGAACCGCAUGGUUCAAUAGUGAAAGACGGUUUUGCUGUCACUUAUAGAUGGAUCCGCGCCGCAUUAGCUAGUUGGUAAGGUAACGGCUUACCAAGGCAACGAUGCGUAGCCGACCUGGGAGGGAGGGCGGCCAACAUGGAACGGAGAGCCCGUCCAGACUCCCGCGGAGGGGAGCAAUAGGGGAUCUUCCGGAAAGGGCGAAGGCCUAGGGGGUCAACGCCGCGGGGGUAGAGGAGGUCUUCGGAUCGUAAAACACUUUAUUUUGGGAAGAACAAUUGUGUAAGUACAUGUGGAGGUGUUGGGGUUACCUAAACGAAAAACCGCGGCGAACUCCGA